UACAGAGGUCUCAAGCGUUGUUCGGAUUCAUUGGGCGUAAAGGGUGCGUAGGCGGCGCGGUAAGUCGGGUGUGAAAUCUCGGAGCUUAACUUCGAAACUGCAUUCGAUACUGCCGUGCUUGAGGACUGGAGAGGAGACUGGAAUUUACGGUGUAGCGGUGAAAUGCGUAGAUAUCGUAAGGAAGACCAGUGGCGAAGGCGGGUCUCUGGACAGUUCCUGACGCUGAGGCACGAAGGUCAGGGGGAGCAAACGGG
rnacentral:rRNA from 1 species